CCUACGGGGUGCUGCAGUGAGGAAUAUUGGUCAAUGGCCGGAAGGCUGAACCAGCCAUGCCGCGUGAAGGUCAGUGCCCUAUGGGCGUUAAACUUCUUUUGUGCGGGUGCAAUAAUGGUCACGUGUGGCCAGACGAGAGUACCGUACGAAUAAGCAUCGGCUAACUCCGUGCCAGCAGCCGCGGUAAUACGGGGGAUGCAAGCGUUAUCCGGAUUUAUUGGGUUUAAAGGGUGCGUAGGCUGUGAGGUAAGUCAGCGGGGAAAUGCCCCCGCUCAACGGGGUGAAGUGCCAUUGAUACUGCCUUGCUGGAAUGCGGAUGCCGUGGGAGGAAUGUGUGGUGUAGCGGUGAAAUGCAUAGAUAUCACACAGAACACCGAUUGCGAAGGCAUCUCACGAAUCCGCGAUUGACGCUGAUGCACGAAAGCGUGGGUAUCAAACAGGAUUAGAUACCCGUGUAGUC
rnacentral:rRNA from 1 species